rnacentral:rRNA from 1 species
UACGGGGGGGGCAAGCGUUGUUCGGAAUUACUGGGCGUAAAGGGCGCGUAGGCGGUUCGCUAAGUCGGAUGUGAAAACUCUGGGCUCAACCCAGAGCCUGCAUCCGAAACUGGCGGGCUAGAGUUCUGGAGGGGGUAGCGGAAUUCCUGGUGUAGCGGUGAAAUGCGUAGAUAUCAGGAGGAACACCGGUGGCGAAGGCGGGUCUCUGGGCCGAAACUGACGCUGAGGAGCGAAAGCGUGGGGAGCAAACAGG